rfam:Gossypium raimondii Chr09_contig_1300, whole genome shotgun sequence.
CAAAGAGUAAAUCAUUCAUUUCUUCUGUUAAAAAUUGGUGUGGUUGACGAAAUAAGCAGACAAAUGGAUUAGUUUUUAACAGUAAAAAUGAAUGAUUUAUUCUUUA